UACUGACUUCCUCUUGUACACGUUUGUGACUGACAUUUACCUCCAGCGUCACAGGCAGGAAGUAAAGAGGUCUGGUCAUGUGACCUUUCACACUAGAUACAUGAAAUUGAUAUUGCUUAGAGUAGACACAUUAUUAUUUUAUUUUAAAACUUCCAUUAACUGCCAAAAGUCAAAACAAUUGUUCUAGAGCUUCCAGAAGUUAGGAAAAAUGUCUGGCAACAAUUGUUGCCGGUGGAAUUAAAUGGCUACAAUUGUGGGUUUAAA